rnacentral:rRNA from 1 species
AGCAGUAGCCGCGGGAAUACAGAGGGUGCGAGCGUUAAUCGGAUUUACUGGGCGUAAAGCGUGCGUAGGCGGCUUUUUAAGUCGGAUGUGAAAUCCCUGAGCUUAACUUAGGAAUUGCAUUCGAUACUGGGAAGCUAGAGUAUGGGAGAGGAUGGUAGAAUUCCAGGUGUAGCGGUGAAAUGCGUAGAGAUCUGGAGGAAUACCAAUGGCGAAGGCAGCCAUCUGGCCUAAUACUGACGCUGAGGUACGAAAGCAUGGGGAGCAAACAGGAUUAGAUACCCCCGUAGUCCCUGUCUCUUAUAC